rnacentral:rRNA from 1 species
UAACCAGACUCCUACGGGAGGCAGCAGUGAGGAAUAUUGGUCAAUGGACGAGAGUCUGAACCAGCCAAGUAGCGUGAAGGAUGACUGCCCUAUGGGUUGUAAACUUCUUUUAUAUGGGAAUAAAACAGGGUAUGCAUACCCUCUUGUAUGUACCAUAUGAAUAAGGAUCGGCUAACUCCGUGCCAGCAGCCGCGGUAAUACGGAGGAUCCGAGCGUUAUCCGGAUUUAUUGGGUUUAAAGGGAGCGUAGGUGGAUUGUUAAGUCAGUUGUGAAAGUUUGCGGCUCAACCGUAAAAUUGCAGUUGAAACUGGCAGUCUUGAGUACAGUAGAGGUGGGCGGAAUUCGUGGUGUAGCGGUGAAAUGCUUAGAUAUCACGAAGAACUCCGAUUGCGAAGGCAGCCUGCCGCAGCGUUACUGACGCUGAAGCUCGAAAGCGCGGGUAUCGAACAGGAUUAGAUACCCUCGUAGA